UUCCACACAAAGAGUCAUUGACAAAAAUAUAUGUAAUUUGGCUCAUUAGCAUUAGCCAUCGCACACCCACUUUCGUUUUAUUUAUCACUGGAGGAAGAGCAAUGCCAUAAUAAACAGUGCUGGGAGAUUUCCAGCAGAACAGGUUUUUGUCAGAGGAUGCUGAUUUGUCGUAAGCAAAAUAUUUCGCAGAAGCACAUCUGUUUGGGUGAACUUCCGCUGCAGCCCAGGCAGGUUUCCAUCACUGUCCUGCCUGACUUCCGGCCAGCCUGCCUGGCCGCUCUCCAGGCUCCGGGACGGCUCGGGACUAAACCUGGGAUUCUUUCUGAUUCCUUGUUUUGUUUUGUUUUUUUUUCCCCUCUCUUUUGAAACGAGAGGUAAAAGGUCUUGGAAGAAAUAUAAACCAGCCCUGCAUGCCUUUUUCCAAUUGUUCAGCAUUCGUUUUGUGGGGGUUUUUUUAAUAAUGAUGACAUUGCACAGCACAUCUUGAUUUGUUACAUGGGAGAGCCAGAAUAGCUUUCCUCCCUGAUGAAGGUUAAGCUGCCCUGGAAAUGAAACAGUUUUCAUGCCAUGUUGAGCUUCAUUUCAGAGCAUUUCCUGGAGAACUGGUGCCAGUAUCUUCUCCUCCUCCCUAUUUUCUAAACACUUAAUUGCAUCGCAGUCCCUCUGAAACAGCAGUGCCUUUCUGCUCUGUCUCCUUCACUUGCUUCUCCCAGCCUGGUCUCUAAUUCAGAGACUGCAUCUACCUCUCAUAUGACUUCUGGACACUUGCAGUUGCUGGUCAUCAUGGUUGACAACAGGUGGUUUCCUGGGACCUCGGGCACCAGAUUUACUCUAGAAAUCCACCUCAGUGGCCGGCUGCUUGUGUAUUAGCUCUGCUGCUGCUUCCUGCUUUAUCUGCCCCAUUUUUAUUGGAUACUUCCUUGCACUUCAGCCUGCACCCGCUGGGUGGUUGUUUGGGGUUUUUCUUUACAGUGGGGUUAUCUGCAAGCAGAACCCUGUGCAGAAGUGUGCCCAGGAUCUUAGGCUUCAUAGAUGAAGCAAAUUCUCUUCCACCUCUGAGCUCAGGUUACAGGCAUUCAGCUUUAUCUGCCUUUGUACUCCAGGCUCAACACUUCUUUCUUUCAACUCUCCUAUAGUUGUUGCUUUUUUUCUUUUUUCUUUUUUUCCCUUCAGACCAUAAGUUUCAUCAGUAUCUGUGUACUUGGAUUAACUUGGCCUUGAAAAGCAGCUGACUAAGAAGCAUUUGGUCAAAAUCGAGAAGAUCUGAUUUUUAUCAUCAAAAAUAGUAUGAAAAUCUGAUGGGAUUGAACCGGUGCAGAAUAUGC
rnacentral:lncRNA from 1 species